rnacentral:rRNA from 1 species
GAUGAACGCUGGCGGCAUGCCUAACACAUGCAAGUCGAACGAAGCUGCUCGGAAAGAGAUUUCGGUCAAUUGAAGAGUAGACUUAGUGGCGAACGGGUGAGUAAUGCAUGAGCAACCUGCCCUUCAGUGGGGGAUAACAGCCGGAAACGACUGCUAAUACCGCAUAACAUUUUCGAGAGGCAUCUCUUGAAAAUCAAAGAUUUAUUGCUGAAGGAUGGGCUCAUGUCUGAUUAGUUAGUUGGUGAGGUAACGGCUCACCAAGACCGCGAUCAGUAGCCGGUCUAGGAGGAGGAACGGCCACAUUGGGACAGCGAUACGGCCCAGACUCCUACGGGAGGAAGCAGUGGGGAAUAUUGGGCAAUGGGCGAAAGCCUGACCCAGCAAUGCCGCGUGAAGGAAGAAGGCCUUCGGGUUGUAAACUUCUUUUAUCAGGGACGAAGAAAGUGACGGUACCUGAUGAAUAAGCUCCGGCUAACUACGUGCCAGCCGCCGCAGUAA